CUACGGGCCGCACCAGUGGGGAAUAUUGCGCAAUGGGGGAAACCCUGACGCAGCGACGCCAUGUGAAGGAUGAAGGCUCUAGGGUCGUAAACUUCUGUCUAGAGGGAAGAAUUAAUUGACGGUACCUCUAAAGAAAGCACCGGCUAACUCUGUGCCAGCAGCCGCGGUAAUACAGAGGGUGCAAGCGUUAUUCGGAAUUACUAGGUGUAAAGGGCAUGUAGGCGGUUUGAUAAGUUAGAUGUGGAAUUCCAUAGCUCAGCUGUGGACCUGCAUCUAAAACUAUUAGACCUGAGUAUGGAAUGGGAAAACGGAAUUUCUAGUGUAGCGGUGGAAUGUGUAGAUACUAGAAGGAACACCGAUGGCGAAAGCGGUUUUCUGGUCCAAUACUGACGCUAAGGUGCGAAAGCUAGGGGAGCAAACGGGAUUAGAUACCCGCGUAGUC
rnacentral:rRNA from 1 species